rnacentral:rRNA from 1 species
CAGCAUACUGCCGUGAAUACGUUCCCGGGCCUUGUACACACCGCCCGUCACACCAUGAGAGUUGGGAAUACCCAAAGCCUGUGAGCUAACUUUUAGAGGCAGCAGUCGAAGGUAGAAUCAAUGAUUGGGGUGAAGUCGUAACAAGGUAGC